rnacentral:rRNA from 1 species
UACGUAGGGGGCAAGCGUUGUCCGGAAUCAUUGGGCGUAAAGAGCGUGUAGGCGGCUCAGUAAGUCCGCUCUGAAAGCCCGGGGCUCAACCCCGGGAGGCGGGUGGAUACUGCUGAGCUUGAGUCCGGAAGAGGCGAGUGGAAUUCCCGGUGUAGCGGUGAAAUGCGCAGAUAUCGGGAGGAACACCAAUGGCGAAGGCAGCUCGCUGGGACGUGACUGACGCUGAGACGCGAAAGCGUGGGGAGCAAACAGG